GACGGAGGAUGCAAGUGUUAUCCGGAAUCACUGGGCGUAAAGCGUCUGUAGGUGGUUUAAUGAGUCAACUGUUAAAUCUUGAGGCUCAACCUCAAAAUCGCAGUCGAAACUAUUAGGCUAGAGUAUAGUAGGGGUAAAGGGAAUUUCCAGUGGAGCGGUGAAAUGCGUAGAGAUUGGAAAGAACACCGAUGGCGAAGGCACUUUACUGGGCUAUUACUAACACUCAGAGACGAAAGCUAGGGUAGCAAAUGGG
rnacentral:rRNA from 1 species